CCUGCAGUGAGUUUAAGUAACUUUUUGCCGUCCCAUUCCUACACUUGCAUUUCUCAUAGAGGAAAAAGUCGCCUAAUCCCCUCUGAGUGAUUAUGCCUUUAGCCAUCACUUAAAGGAUAAGAAAUUUAAACUUUCGGUGUAUUUGUGCAGAAAAUGAAAAAUGGAAGGAAAAACCCAAAAACGCCUGCAGGAGGUCAGUGCAAAUCAAAAAGGACUCCUAGUCCACACUGCUGCCAUUAUUGUGGGACUUGACCCACACACACCAAAGAACCGGGCAAAUCCGCAGAAGAAUGGUUGUGGUGAAGGUAAUCCAAUCAAGAAAACCAUUGUAAAGGAAAUUGCCGAGAGGCUUUUCACUUUAAUGGAGAUCCUGCCGGACGUGUCCUCGCAAAGAAAAACCAUUAAUAAUACGAUCUGCGACGAGCUCUCCAUUGGGGAAUUGCUGGACUCCACCAGCAUCAGCUACUUGGCAGCUAAAACGGAGCUGGAGGGGCCGCUGGCUUCUACAGGGUGUUGUAACAAAGGACGCUAGCUAAGGGACGGCUGCAGGGGCCAUUACCAGCCAUUGGAAGGAUGCUGUGCGACUUUCUGCAGCAUCAGCGGAACAACCCCGAUCCCAAUUCGGCUUCCACUCUCUCAAGGCCCAUAUUGGCAUAUUGGUAAUCGGAGCUAAACAGAUGGCGCGGAGAAGAUGGCGAAGCAUCUUCGAAACGCGAAGGAAGCUUUAAACUACUACCCAGUCAGCUGUUUAUAACCCUUCGCGGGAUUUUUAUUGGCACAAGACAUUUCAUCAUUCACUUUUGGCUAACGGAACCCAUAAAACACCUUCAAAAGAAACGAAAAAAGUAAAUCUGCUGCGCACAAUUUAAAUGUCUUCUCCUCAGCCCUUUACUUGAUUUCUUUUGUUUUCUCUUCGCUGUUGGCGCGCCCCUGCACCUAUACCCUUUCUUAAGCGAAAAUUACCCGACUAUAUAGUAUAUACUCCUUGAGUAAAAAAUACAAUAUAAAUUUUUUAAAAAUGUUAA